rnacentral:rRNA from 1 species
AGUGAACGCUGGCGGUAGGCCUAACACAUGCAAGUCGAACGGCAGCACAGUAAGAGCUUGCUCUUACGGGUGGCGAGUGGCGGACGGGUGAGGAAUACAUCGGAAUCUACUUUUUCGUGGGGGAUAACGUAGGGAAACUUGCGCUAAUACCGCAUACGACCUACGGGUGAAAGCAGGGGAUCUUCGGACCUUGCGCGAUUGAAUGAGCCGAUGUCGGAUUAGCUAGUUGGCGGGGUAAAGGCCCACCAAGGCGACGAUCCGUAGCUGGUCUGAGAGGAUGAUCAGCCACACUGGAACUGAGACACGGUCCAGACUCCUACGGGAGGCAGCAGUGGGGAAUAUUAGACAAUGGGCGCAAGCCUGAUCCAGCCAUACCGCGUGGGUGAAGAAGGCCUUCGGGUUGUAAAGCCCUUUUGUUGGGAAAGAAAAGCAGCAGGUUAAUACCCCGCUGUUCUGACGGUACCCAAAGAAUAAGCACCGGCUAACUUCGUG